AAGGCUAUACUUUGGGGGUCAUUUCUACAGUUCGUUACUAGAGAUGUUUCUCUGACUGUGUAGAGCACCUGAAACCAUGAGGAGGAGAGUAGUUGAGGAAGAGAUACAGUGUUCUCUCCUGCGGCGCUUAGUGUUGCUUUCUGCAACUGUGACUCACCACUGAUGAUCGUCCUUGAUAUUUUUGGAGGAUCGAGAGGGAGAGGACGCAGGCUGAGCCGU